rnacentral:lncRNA from 1 species
GUUUUAUUAUUGUACAACUGCUCUGACUGAAUAACCUUCUCUUGUCUCUAUUUUUGCUCUGCAACGAAUUACCUCUGAUUAAUCUUGCAGAUUUUUACAUGAGCAGAAUUUGAGCAGAAAAAAAUAGUUUGUGUUAAUCAGUCAUGUAGUGUUCCUGUGAAUUGAUUAAGCCACCCUAAAGUCCUUUCUGGAAUCAUAAGAUGGCUUCAUCGGGAGCUCCACCUGGGUAGAGCGGCAGGAUCAGAUUAACACAUCAAACACCGAAAUAGCUCCGUACAUAGACUGAAUAAAGUGGACUCUGCUCUGCUGUAAAUUGCCUGCAUUCCUGGGACGCUGCGGACCCUUCAAAGACAACAGAAACUGAGGAUGUUUUCACUGCUGAGGGGCUGGUAAAAUUCAGAUGAACAGAGAGCUUUUGGUUCAUAUCAAAAUAUAAUUCCAUGUGGAAUACAGAACUUGAAACUUUAAUAUGCACAAAAUACAGAUGGCAGUGGAAAAAACAAUAGAAUCUUGGAAUGAAAAAGUCCCCAGAUUACUCUGUUGUGAAAACAAGUCCUUGACAUUCUUCCCGUUCAUCUAGGGAGAUGCUGACAUCCACUUUGUUACCUUUGCCUGAAGGUCCAAAUACAAUUUCUCACGAUGCACUAAAUAAUGGCUAAAUGGACACUUACCAUAUGGAGCACAUGUAAGCAUACAGUGGAGCAGUAAGAAACGAGUGAAAUGAAAACUUCUUGGAAGAAGAGGACACAUCAUAUAGGGAUGACUGGUCCUGAUGUCCAUGAUAUGACAGGACUCCCUGGCCUGUGAGUU